rnacentral:rRNA from 1 species
CCCUUAGAUGUUCUGGGCCGCACGCGCGCUACACUGAUGCAUGCAACAAGUCUUUUCCUUGGCCGAGAGGCCUGGGCAAUCUUUGAAUAUGCAUCGUGAUGGGGAUAGACGAUUGCAAUUAUUCGUCUUCAACGAGGAAUUCCUAGUAAACGCAAGUCAUCAGCUUGCAUUGAUUACGUCCCUGCCCUUUGUACACACCGCCCGUCGCACCUACCGAUUGAAUGGUCCGGUGAAAUCUCGGGACGGCGGCUUGGUCGCUUGCGUCCGACUGCUGAAACUUGAUUAAACCAUAUCAUUUAGAGGAAGGUGAAGUCGUAACA